CGAAUGCUGACGUGAGUAACGACAAAACGGGUGAAAAACCCGUUCGCCGAAAGACCAAGGGUUCCAGUCCAACGUUAAUCGGGGCUGGGUGAGUCGACCCCUAAGGCGAGGCCGAAAGGCGUAGUCGAUGGGAAAAUGGUUAAUAUUCCAUUACUUCUGUGUAAUGCGAUGAGAGGACGGAGAAGGCUAAAUCAGCCUGGCGUUGGUUGUCCAGGUGAAAGGAUGUAGGCAUGUAUCUUAGGCAAAUCCGGGGUACUCUAUGCUGAGAUCUGAUAGCAAGCUGUACUUGUACAGCGAAGUGGUUGAUGCCAUGCUUCCAGGAAAAGUCUCUAAGCUUCAGUUACACAGGAAUCGUACCCGAAACCGACACAGGUGGUCAGGUCGAGUAGACCAAGGCGCUUGAGAGAACUCUGCUGAAGGAACUAGGCAAAAUGGUACCGUAACUUCGGGAGAAGGUACGCUGUUGUUGGUGAUGGAACUCGCUUCCUGAGCUGACGACAGCCGCAGAAACCAGGCCGCUGCAACUGUUUAUUAAAAACAUAGCACUCUGCAAACACGAAAGUGGACGUAUAGGGUGUGAUGCCUGCCCGGUG
rnacentral:rRNA from 1 species